rnacentral:rRNA from 1 species
UACGAAGGGGGCUAGCGUUGUUCGGAAUUACUGGGCGUAAAGGGCGCGUAGGCGGCCCACUAAGUCGAACGUGAAAUCCCUGGGCUCAACCCAGGAACUGCGUCCGAUACUGGUGGGCUCGAAUCCGGGAGAGGGAUGUGGAAUUCCAGGUGUAGCGGUGAAAUGCGUAGAUAUCAGGAGGAACACCGAUUGCGAAGGCAGCUCGCUGGGACGUCACUGACGCUGAGACGCGAAAGCGUGGGGAGCAAACAGG